rnacentral:rRNA from 1 species
UGUAAGCGUAUACCAAAGUUGUUGCAGUUAAAACGCUCGUAGUCGGAACUUGGCCGUUCCGGAUGUGUGCACGUCGUGUGCGCACUUUGUAGGGACGGCUUUUGUGGUCUUGCGUAGGAUGAGGCACUUUUAUUAGUGAACGUCCUCACGCAACCACUCUUUACUGUGAGAAAAUCAGAGUGCUCAAAGCAGGCAUUUGCCGUGAAUGUAUUAGCAUGGAAUAAUAGAAUAGGACUCGGUUCUAUUUUGUUGGUUUGUUGGGACUGAGUAAUGAUUAAGAGGGACAGUUGGGGGCAUUUGUAUUUCGGCGCUAGAGGUGAAAUUCUUAGAUUGCCGAAAGACAAACUGCUGCGAAAGCGUCUGCCAAGGAUGUUUUCAUUGA